rnacentral:lncRNA from 1 species
CAGGAGAGGUUCUGCAGUAUAAGUUGUGUACAGAGCCCGGAGAAGCUCUGUGGCCCAGUAUUCUGGCUUCAUCUCCUGCUGCUCUAGGCCUUCUAGAAUGCCAUUUCCUAACUAACUGUUCGUUUCACAACCUGGUCCUCUCCCUAUAGGUGCUCUUCUCUCUUCUUGAAAGCCUUUUCCGUACCUUAUGUGCCUGGUGAGGUCCCAAUUUCAAAAUCUUCUUGAAGUCUGCCACUGCCUACGCUCCACCCAAAUAAUUGUUUUCUAUAUUCUUCUGUUAUCUCGCUAUGAAUAAUUACAGUGAUUUUCAUUAUUCACAGUGAUUAUGGUCCAUAAAAUCACACAGAACACUAAAUUAGCAAAUACUGAACAGUUGCUCCUAGGGAAAAUAGGUAUGUUUCUCAUAUACAUUUUAAUCUUAAAUUUUAAAUUCAACUCAUCCUGGUAAAUUCUAUUUUCUUUAUUUAACAAAAAAGAAAAUGAGAUUCAGAAGUGUUAAGCGACGUGCCUGAGGCCAACCAACCCCGUAACAGGUUCCAGUUAGAAUUCAAAUCCUGUCUUACUGGCCCUUGAGCCAGAGCUUCUUGCACUACACUGCACUGCCCUCUCCUGGCUGUGCCCUGAAUUAUCUCUAUGAGUGCUUAAAUGAGCAGAGCAGUGCCUAGUUCAAACUUCUUGGAUGGGAACCAUGCGCUAAGGGGUGACUCAGAAUUUUUCCCACUCUGUGCAUGUCCGUGAAUGACUAUGGAAGCACCGUCAGUAUUCAUUUGGUGGUUACAAAUAAAUUUUGGCAAGCAGGCAAAUUUCCAAAUACAGGAUCCACAAAUAAUGAGGAUCAACUGUAUUUGUGAAUGAGCCCUGGAGUCUGUUUCAUGGUAACCCGUCCCUGCAAUCAACAGUGGAAUGUGCUGUUUUAUCCAACAGAUAUUCAUUAAGCACUUACUAUAAGCCAGGCCGUUUUAGGCUGUGGUGACCAAACUGGAAAUUAAGCUGCUGUCCUUAUGCAUGUUAAAUUUGAAUAAGCCAGCUAAAAGCCUGGAGCUCAGGGGAGAGAUCUAGUUUGUAAUUAGAGGGUAACUUGACCAACGUGACUUGACCAACCUUGUGUGGUCCUUCCCACUUCAUAUUCCUUAGCAUGUUGAUUUCCAGAACAUUUCAGUUUUGCUCUUUGCAUAAACCCUCUCUUUUGAGCAACUCUUUACUUGUCACUAGUUUAUUUUGAGGCUGUUUACCCAUAAAACUGGCAGGAUAUUGUAGAAGAAACAGGCUAAUGUGGUCUUUGAUUUCUGCCUUUGCCACCUCCCAACUGAGUGACUUUGGUCACACUGUUGAACUUUUUAAACCUGUUUCCUGAUGUCAGAAGUAGUAAUAUGAUGUUCUAGCCCCUGUGGAUUGCAAGGGAGAGGCACACACAUAUUACCUUUGAUGACAAGGAUUUAAUAAUCUGCUGUAUAGCACAGAGAACUCUACCCACUAGUCUAUGAUAAUCUGUGUGGGAAAAGAAUCUGAAAGAGAAUGGAUGUGUGUAUAUGUAUAACUGAAUCACUUUGUUGUACAGCAGAAAUUAUCACAACUUUGUAAAUCGACUAUACUUUAAUAAAACUUUUUAAUAAAAAAACCUUAAAGAGCACUAACUUAGUAGUGUUUAGGAUAGGAUUUGAGCUCUGGAGACCCGCCCUCUAUUACUUUGUUCACUCAAGCUUUGUGUUUCCUAGGAGAGAGCAUCUGAUUGGAUUGGUUUGCCACCUUCUAAAAUGGAGGACCCCUAUUGAGCAGAAUUUUUAACCAAAGCCGUAUCCUAGGUGAUCUCCCUCAAGUUCAGCCCUUAAUUAGGGCUCUGAGUCUGGUCCAGGAGUUUGUGGCCAAAGAAGUAGGAUUAGUUUCAUGUAUUAUAUGUGGCAAAGACUGUAGCAUAUAUAAAAAGAACCCCUUGGAGAGAGAUUCUUCCAAAAGCAACCAAGGAUAGAGCAGUCCUUAGGAUGCCAAUUCAAUAACCUAUCUGAUACGCUCAUAGACAAUGUUUAAUAAAGCACCUAACAAAGUAAUUGACACAUGUCAAAUAUUGCAUAGAGCUCCCUUUUGAUGUUGCCGUUAACAUUAUAGUGUGAUUGUUUGUUCAUGUGGCUGUCUUCCUUCCUAGACUAUGAGCUCCAUGAGGGAGAGUCAACAUCUUCAUCCUUCUAACCUUGGCAUUGAGUGCAGUGCCUGAUACAUUGUAAUAAAUAUACACAUGUCUGAAUUGAAGCAUUCCCUAACUUGUCCUGAAAGGGUAGAAUAAUGUGAAAGCUUUUCAGAGAAGGUAUAGUUUAAACUGGUUCUUAAAGAAUGAGUAGAAUGUUUUCCAGGUGAAUAAAACCUUGUGGCAGCAUUCCAAAUAGGGACCAGCAGGUGCAAAAGAACAGAGAUAGAAGAAGAUAACCAUGACCAGUAACAGAUGCAAAUUUUAGGGAGAAAGUGUAAUACUCUCAAGGUGUUAGCAGGGUAUCAAUAAUAAAUAGAGUUUAGAAAUACAAGUAUUGACUUUUGGGAACCAUUACACUGUAGUGAAAUUAUUUACUUCAUCAUGAAGCUCACGUGUAUCUUGUACUGUUCAAGGUGCUAAAAAUGUAAUGAAACUUAUUCUCAGAAGGCUCACAAGCUCACAAGUAGAUGGAGGAACUGGUUUGUCAUGUAAGGUAAUAAAGAUAUGAAAAAAAAAAAGCUGUCUAAACCAGGAGAAAGGAGUAUUUAGUAAUAUGGAGCAAUGGAGGAGAUUACUCAAAUGAGGUGGUGUUUGAGCUAGGCCUUGGUAGGUAAAGAAGUAGGAGUUCACUAGACCGAAAGUAAGGAUUUAUGGGGACUAUUUGUGGUAGGAGAGAUUUAAGAAUUAUCCAGUUUGCCAUUUCUGUUUUGGGCACUCAGUUAAUAGUUUUGUUUAUUCAAGCAGUUUCUCUGAGCAUAUGAAUGUGAAUAGUUAUGCUACAGUAGAACUUUGUGUCAAAAUAAACUGGGUUAAACAAAGGUUUCUGAAAUGCAGGUCUUCUCAAGAGCCUUUAUUAUGUUAAUAUCCUUUGUCAAUUGUGGCUCUCCAAAAGGACUACAUUAUAUUUAACUAUGGCUUCUCCUCCUUCUCCCUUUGCAACAUACCUAAACAUCUUUUGAAACAAAAUUACAUAAGAUACAGUUUGAGGAGUUCCCUGGUGGCUCAGUGGGUACAGGAUCCAGCAUUGUCACUGCUGUGGCUCAAAUCAUUGCUGUGGUGCAAGUUUGAUCCCUUCUCUACAAAAUUCUUCAUGCUGCAGGCAAGGCCAAGACAAACAAAAAGACAUAGUUUGAGAGAUGAUGAAUUAAAACAUAUUUUUAUCAAGCCAAAAUUUAUCAGUAGUCUCCAGGUACAUUGUAAAAUAAUGUAUAAUUGCAUAAUCUUAGAGCAAAGAAGAAAGGACAUUUGGAGAGAAAAAAUACGUUCUAGCCAAGUUAUUAUCAUCUUGGUCAUUAAAUCCCAAACUUAUAAAAAUUCUUAUAUGAUCACACUCUCCCUUGAAAACUAUGGCUUAUUCAUAUUUUGAAAUUCUGUAAGGUGAUCAGAGACACCCUGCGGUGUGGCAGAAACAGAGCAGGAGUGAACAGUGGUGACCAAGGCAAAGGUCAUCUUGGAAGUGAGACUCUUCCAACCUGAGAGGAUGCUACUUUUAUUAUGCAUUCAUUUUAGGCCAUAUUAGGCAUAUAUUUCGCUGUUGGGUAUUUUAUUUAAGAGCAUAACAGAAAUCCACACCCUCUUCUGACUUUGGAAUUGUGCGUUCUCUUUUCAAUAAGAGAAAAUAAUGACUGAGGCCUUACUGUGUAAUUUUAAUUAUCUGUCAAAUUCUGAUUGUGUGAUUAAAUUCCUAGGCAUUGUUAAAAUUAAAGAAGCAAUGGUCAUGCUUUUGACAGUUCACUGAAUUUGAAGUGAGAAGAUCUACAUUUGAAAUUCAUCUUGGCCAGCUUUCUAUUUGGAUGACCUUGGACACAACUGCCUAACCAUCUCUAGCCUCCUUUUCCAGUACUUCUUCCUUUUCCAUUUUAACCAAAUGCAAAUACAUAGGGUUAGUGUAAGAAUUAAAUGAUGCUUAUAAGCAUGCUUUAUGAGCUCUGAAGCACUGUACAAAUAAAAGGCUGAAGGAAUAUGCUGAGGCUGAGCUUAAUUUGAAUUAACAUUUUACUUUUAGUUUUUAAUUUUAUAUUAUAGAAAUAGUGCAUAUGUACCAUUAUAAAAUUAGAAAGCAUAGAUAGGCAAGGGAGGGGGCUACAAAGAACUUCCUACAUCUGCCAUAGUGAGACAGUGGUUACCAUUUUGAUGGAUAUAUAUAGUUUCUAUGCAUAUUUGUGUAUGUAUAUGUGUAUGCAUUGUGUAAUAGAAAUGGGCUCAUCUUGGUUGGUUUGUUUAGUCACUUUAUUUUUGUAAGUCCCCUAAGAGUACAUUUACUUGAUUCAAGGAAUUAUUCCAUCUUUUGCUACAUAUUUCUUGUAUAUAAUGAGAACUAUAAUGAGAAAGAGCUAACUUCUCAGCCUGGUGAACGUGUGACCUUGUGGUAAUCUAAUAUCCUAAACCAUUUCCAAAGCUUCAUGAAUGGCACAUUCAGAAAUGGACUUGAUGUGGGUAUGUGGCUAUGAUUGGCAUUGUUGGUAAUAGCUUAAGGAUGACUCCAGUGUGUCCGUGAGGAGCUCGUUAACCAUGGUAUAUCCAACCCAUGGAAUAUUACAUAGUUUUGAAAAGAGUGAGGAAAAUAGAAGGGUAGAACAAGAAUAUAUAUUGCUAGUAAUUGCAAAACGAAAUUCUGAAAUGGUAUAUAAGAGACCAUUGAAAGAAAUAGUGGGGGAGUUCCCGUUGUGGCGCAGUGGUUAGCGAAUCCGACUAGGAACCAUGAGGUUGCGGGUUCGGUCCCUGCCCUUGCUCAUGUGGGUUAACGAUCCGGCGUUGCCGUGAGCUGUGGUGUAGGUUGCAGACGCGGCUCGGAUCCCGAGUUGCUGUGGCUCUGGCGUAGGCCGGUGGCUACAGCUCCGAUUCAACCCCUAGCCUGGGAACCUCCAUAUGCCGCGGGAGCGGCCCAAGAAAUAGCAACAGCAACAACAACAAAAAGACAAAAG